ensembl:lincRNA
GUCCUCACCCCCUCGCUACGCUCAGUUCGACCCCUUCCCCUUCCUGCCAGACGCAUCAGAUGCAGAGAAUGAGAACGAGUCACCCCAGCACGACCCUCCGCACUUCCCCCCACCCGUGUGUAUUGGGUACCGGGAUGCGCCCCGGGCCUCCUCCCCACCUCGCCAGUUCCCAGAGCCCUCUUUCUUGUUCCAGGACCUCCCCAGGGCCAGCACCGAGAGCCUCAUGCCCUCCACGGACUCCCUCCACGAGCACCCCCACGUCCCCACCCCCGUUUGCAUUGGCCACCGAGAUGCCCCCUCCUUCUCAUCGCCCCCACGCCAAGCCCCUGAGCCCUCGCUCUGCUUCCAGGACCCUCCUGGAGCCAGUAUGGAGAGCCUGGCCCCCUCCACCGACUCUCUGCAUGGCUGCCCCCUGCUCCCCCCCCAGGUGUGCAUCGGACACCGAGAUGCACCUCGCGCCUCCUCCCCACCCCGCCACCCACCCAGUGACCUAGCGCUCCUGGCACCCUCGCCCCCACCAGGCAGCUCCAGGGGCUCCCGGGGCUCAGCACCUCCUGGGGAGACCAGGCACAACUUGGAGAGGGAGGAGUACACCAUGCUGGCCAAUCUGCCCCCGCCCAGGAGGCUGGCCCAGAGGGAGCCAGCACCCCAGGCACAGGGCAGCAACGGGGGCCGCACCCGCAGCCCCGGCCGCACAGAGGUGGAGCGCCUCUUCGGGCAGGAGCGCAGGAAGUCCGAGACUCCAGGGGCCUUCCAGGCUCAGGACGGGGGACGGUCACCACGACCUGGCCAGGGUCAGAGCCAGCCUCUCCGAAGACAGCACAGCUGUACCGCCAGCAGGCAGGUGACCAAGGCCCCUGCCAAGCAGGCAGAACCAGCCAGGAGUCCCGAGAGGCAGCCUGAGGGGGACCGGCGGCUCCAGAGAUCCUCACCGUGCCCUAGGACAUCAGCGAGGCCCCCUGAGAGGGAGCUGCGGAAGAGGACGGAGAGAGCUCUGGGGAGGGGCCAAGGAGGCCCAAGGCAACCGCCGGGCGGGUGGCAGAGUCAGGAGGAGCUGCCAGGGCCCCAGGGCCCUCACAGAGGCCUGGAAAGGAGCUGGAGCAGCCAGGAGGAGGGCCCGGGCCCUGGAGGCUGGCCAGCACUUGGGGAGCCCAGCCUGGGGGCGGCCAGAGCCCUGGAGGAUGCAUGGCGAGGCCCUCCCAGGGAGCGCAGGGAGAGCUGGGGGCAGCCUGAGGCCUGGGAGGAGCCCCCCAGUAAUGGGCUACAGGAGCACCCCCAGAAGCCGGCCCCAAGGGGCUGGGGCAGCCUGCAGGAGCUGUUCAGUACACCCCAACCUGGAAGCCCCUCAGAGCACUCCUGGGUAGGCCCGGCAGAACCCUCUUAUCCUCAGCGGCCUGAGACGCCCACCUCCAUGGGCUGGGGCCCUGAGAGGACCCCUGAGCUGGACUGGAGGGACCUGCUGGGCCUCUUCCGGGCCCCUGGGGAGGGGGCCUGGGCCCGACUCCCUAGACUGGACUGGGAAGGCCUCCUGGAGCUCCUGCAGGCCAGGCUACCCCACAAGGACCCAGCUGGACACUGGGGUGACCCAGCCAAGGCUUCAGGGCCACAGCCAGGUCCCCCAGAGACAAAGGAGGAUGCCCUGGAGCAGGAGCGACACAACCAGCCUGAAAGUUGGGCUGAGGCCACUGUCACCAAUGGACAUAGCCCUGGGCAGCAGCCCCAGCACCCUGCCCAGCUACCCAGCCCCGCCUGCACCUCCACCCAGUGGCCAAAGACACAAGUGACAAGUGGGCCAGCAACCUCACCUCCGUCUGCUCCGCCACACACAGCCCAGCUGGAGCACAGCAGGCCGGCAGAGGGCCCCAGCUCCCCGGAGCCAGAGGUAAGCUGCCUUUGCCUCAGAGGGGUAGCCAGAAAGCCAGCUCCAUCCCAGCAAUUAUCCUUAGAAAGGCUCCCUGAGAUGUGACCCCAGCCCCUGCACCCCGUCCCAAAGCCCAGCCCUGCCUGUGUCAUUCUGACCACUGCACGGGACAGCGGUGUGUGCACCUGCU